AGUAUAGUAAUCGGAAACGUCUCGUUGCCAGGUGACAGUGGCGUCGUGACAGUGGCGCCUUAAGCCACGUUCAUACCGCACUCCUCGUUCGGAGUGCUCGCCGCAAGUAUAAAGUUGCUCCUCCAUCGAGGGGAGCCGUCAGUUCUAAACGACACCUCUGGAAAGUACGCCGGAAGAAUACGCCUCCCUAUCUCUCUCUUUCUCUCUCUCUUUCCCUCUUUCUCUUUCUCUCUCUCUCUCUUUCUUUCUCUUUCUCUCUUUCUCUCUCUCUCCCUUCCUUUCUUUAAAAAAAUUACACACAUACAGACACGGACACAGAUACGUGACGUUACACAUUAAACAUUUUCCUUCCUAUUUCAUUAAAAGAAUUCAUUCCUUCGUUUAAAUCAGUUCGUUCCGUGUUUUUGAUCAUUAUUAAAAUAAAUUCGCGAGGAACAAUAUGUCGUUGUUCACUUUCGAAAUUAGUUAAGAAAAAAGUGAUUCGAUGAUCAGUCAAAUGCGUAAGAGUUGAUGGUGAACGUGCCAAUUUUCGGAGGGACAAUCCUCAACAUUACCAAUCCCACGUAUCUACUAUUCCAAUCGAUAUCAGCUCUUAGUAGAUGAGCUCUUAAAUGAGAAGUUUCGACGAACGAGAAGUGGAGACGAACACCGCAAAACCCGUCGUGUGACGUGCGAAUGCAUGAAAACCGCGUGACAGGAUGAUAUCCAUCUAGUACUUUGAUUUGCAUCGAAUCGUUUCUACGGUGUCACCGGUGUUGUUGCGGCUCGAUGCAACAGGUUAUUUCUUCGGAAUACAUAUGUCACGGAUGAAUGGAAAGGAAGAGAAAGACGAAAGAUUUUAAUCGAGCUCACGUGAGCCAACUAAUUAUCGUUCGAACUACUAUUAAAAGUAUGCAAAUCAUCGAUAAAUAAUAAUAGAGGAGGAAGAGCAGCCGGUGUCGCUGUGAACUCGAAAAAGAUUUAAAAAAAGAAAAACAAAAAACGAAAGAAAAAAAAAUAAAAAGGUAAAAAAGAAACAAAUUCUUCCGAAUACUCGACGAACGCGAGAAUUGAGAUCGAAAG